CCCUUAGAUGUUCUGGGCCGCACACGCGCUACACUGAAGGAGGCAGCGUGUACUCCUGGAUCGAAAGAUUUGGGUAACCCGCGAAUCUCCUUCGUGCUAGGGAUUGAGGUUUGCAAUUAUCCUUCAUGAACGAGGAAUUCCCAGUAAGUGCAAGUCAUAAGCUUGCGCUGACUACGUCCCUGCCCUUUGUACACACCGCCCGUCGCUACUACCGAUUGAAUGAUUUAGUGAGGACUUCGGACUGGGACCGAUGCGGCUUUCGGGCUGCGUCGGUAUUCUGGAAAGAUGGCCAAACUGUAUCAUUUAGAGGAAGUAAAANUCGUANCA
rnacentral:rRNA from 1 species